CAUCCAAAACACGAUUGAGUUGCUGUGAGACUUUGCUAUGCUGUGGUCUUUGUUUGGAUUCAUCAGAUCUAUUUUCGCUGCUAAAAAAAGACCAAAAUAUUUCGUCUAAAGUAGACUCGAAAGCACGAAUCACUCUGCAGUUAGUCCUACUGUGCUCAACGAGCAGCGGGUGCUGCCGUGAGCCCCUCUCCCGUCCAACAGCACUCACAGGCGGUCAGUGUCUCAGUAGCCUCGCGCUGCAGUCAGAGCAGAGAGGAGACACACACACCCCUCCGCGUCCAGGCUGCAAAUGAAAUGCGCAUGCGCAUGGCCGCCGCCGUUACAGAGCGGGUGUAAAUGUAAAUGUUUCUUCACUUUUUCCAGCAUUUUUUCUGAGGACAAACUUUUUCAAUUCUGUUCUGAGUUCUACUUUUCCUUCGUGACUACAAAUGUCAUUAAGAAGUGUAUUUAGAUGCUUUGUCUGUGAAUACUGUGACUUUAAUGUGAAAAAAGGGAAUCUAAAGUGUAAUAUGUGAUGUAAAAGUUUAAAAAGAAAAUGCUUUAAUAAGGUUAUAUAGUGAUAUUUGUAAGAUGUUUUACAUGUUCAACAAAUAAUUUUGUUUGCUUUGCUAACACUGUGCACAGGCCCUAGUGUUAUUGAGCACAUGGUGAUUAGCAUGUAUGUUUUUUCGUCUAUGUGCAAAUGAUUGAGACAGAGAGUUUGAUUUAAUUUAAAAUGAUUUACUUAAA